rnacentral:rRNA from 1 species
AUACGUAGGCAGCAAGCGUUGUUCGGAAUUACUGGGCGUAAAGAGUGCGUAGGUGGUUGGCCAAGUUUGGUGUGAAAUCUCCCGGCUUAACUGGGAGGGUGCGCCGAAAACUGGUCAGCUAGAGUGCGGGAGAGGAUAGUGGAAUUCCUGGUGUAGCGGUGAAAUGCGUAGAUAUCAGGAGGAACACCUGAGGUGUAGACGGCUAUCUGGACCGUAACUGACGCUGAGGCACGAAAGCGUGGGGAGC